GACUCAACACGGGAACUCACCAGUCAGACACAAUAAGGAGACAGAUUGAGAGCUCUUCUGAUUUGGUGGGUGGGUGGUGCAUGGCGUCUUAGUUGGUGGAGUGAUUUGUCUGUAAUUGCGAUAACGAACGAGACCUUAACCUACUAAAUAGGACUAUUAGCUUUUGCUGAUUGUCUUCUUAGAGGGACUAUCGAUUUCAAGUCGAUGGAAGUUUGAGGCAAUAACAGGUCUGUGAUGCCUUGACGUUCUGGGCCGCACGCGCGUACACUGACGGAGCCAACGAGUACUAUCUUGGCCGAGAGGUCCGGGUAAUCUUGUUAAACUCCGUCGUGCUGGGGAUAGAGCAUUGCAAUUAUUGUCUUCAACGAGGAAUUCCUAGUAAGCGCAAGUCAUCAGCUUGCGUUGAUUACGUCCUGCCUUUGUACACACCGCCCGUCGCUAGUACCGAUUGAAUGGCUUAGUGAGGCUU
rnacentral:rRNA from 1 species